rnacentral:misc_RNA from 1 species
GAUGAAGAACGUAGCGAAAUGCGAUACUUGGUGUGAAUUGCAGAAUUCAGUGAAUCAUCGAAUCUUUGAACGCACAUUGCGCCCGCCAGUAUUCUGGCGGGCAUGCCUGUCUGAGCGUCAUUUCAACCCUCAUGCCCCUAGGGCGUGGUGUUGGGGAUCGGCCAAAGCCCGCGAGGGACGGCCGGCCCCUAAAUCUAGUGGCGGACCCGUCGUGGCCUCCUCUGCGAAGUAGUGAUAUUCCGCAUCGGAGAGCGAUGAGCCCCUGCCGUUAAACCCCCAACUUUCCAAGGUUGACCUCAGAUCAGGUAGGAAUACCCGCUGAACUUAAGCAUAUCAAUAAGCGGAGGA